CCUACGGGGGACAGCAGUGAGGAAUAUUGGUCAAUGGUCGGGAGACUGAACCAGCCAAGCCGCGUGAGGGAUGAAGGUACAGAGUAUCGUAAACCUCUUUUGUCAGGGAACAAAGGCGGGGACGUGUCCCCGGAUGAGUGUACCUGAAGCAAAAGCAUCGGCUCACUCCGUGCCAGCAGCCGCGGUAAUACGGAGGAUGCGAGCGUUAUCCGGAUUUUUUGGGUUUAAAGGGUGCGCAGGCGGUCUGGUAAGUCAGCGGUGAAAGCCCGGGGCUCAACCCCGGACCGCCGGUUGAAACUGGCAGUCUCGAGUUGGAGAGAGGUAUGCGGAAUGCGCGGUGUAGCGGUGAAAUGCAUAGAUAUCGCGCAGAACUCCGAUUGCGAAGGCGGCAUGCCGGCUCCACACUGACGCUGAGGCACGAAAGCGUGGGUAGCGAACAGGAUUAGAUACCCUUGUAGUC
rnacentral:rRNA from 1 species